GGUGAACGCUGGCGGCGUGCCUAAUACAUGCAAGUCGAGCGAACGGACGAGAAGCUUGCUUCUCUGAUGUUAGCGGCGGACGGGUGAGUAACACGUGGAUAACCUACCUAUAAGACUGGGAUAACUUCGGGAAACCGGAGCUAAUACCGGAUGAUAUUUUGAACCGCAUGGUUCAAAAGUGAAAGACGGUCUUGCUGUCACUUAUAGAUGGAUCCGCGCUGCAUUAGCUAGUUGGUAAGGUAACGGCUUACCAAGGCAACGAUGCAUAGCCGACCUGAGAGGGUGAUCGGCCACACUGGAACUGAGACACGGUCCAGACUCCUACGGGAGGCAGCAGUAGGGAAUCUUCCGCAAUGGGCGAAAGCCUGACGGAGCAACGCCGCGUGAGUGAUGAAGGUCUUCGGAUCGUAAAACUCUGUUAUUAGGGAAGAACAUAUGUGUAAGUAACUGUGCACAUCUUGACGGUACCUAAUCAGAAGGCCACGGCUAACUACGUG
rnacentral:rRNA from 1 species